rnacentral:rRNA from 1 species
GACGAACGCUGGCGGCGUGCCUAAUACAUGCAAGUCGAGCGCAGGAAGCUGACGGAACUCUUCGGAGGGAAGGCAGUGGAAUGAGCGGCGGACGGGUGAGUAACACGUAAGGAACCUGCCUCAAGGAUUGGGAUAACUCCGAGAAAUCGGAGCUAAUACCGGAUAGUUCAACGGACCGCAUGGUCCGCUGAUGAAAGGCGCUCCGGCGUCACCUUGAGAUGGCCUUGCGGUGCAUUAGCUAGUUGGUGGGGUAACGGCCCACCAAGGCGACGAUGCAUAGCCGACCUGAGAGGGUGAUCGGCCACGCUGGGACUGAGACACGGCCCAGGCUCCUACGGGAGGCAGCAGUAGGGAAUCUUCCACAAUGGACGAGAGUCUGAUGGAGCAACGCCGCGUGAGUGAUGAAGGUUUUCGGAUCGUAAAACUCUGUUGUAAGGGAAGAACACGUACGAGAGGAAAUGCUCGUACCUUGACGGUACCUUACGAGAAAGCCACGGCUAACUACGUGCCAGCCGCCGCGGUAACAC